AAUCAAGAAAUAAAAGGGAUCAUAGAGAAUGACAAACCUAUAUAUCAGAUGGAGGUUUAAACCAAAAAAUUGUGGAUUAAAAGAUGAAACAAUAAAUUCCAAAGAUAUAAAAAUAUCAAAGGGCAAAGCCAAAAAAAACCUGCAGAACUGAAACAUCUAAUUAAGCAGAGGAAAAGAAAUCAACCGAGAUUCAAAAAGUAGUGGCGAACAAAAUUUGAACAGUCUUAAAUACCAAGUAACUUCGUUACUUGGUUUGCCAAGAUCCUAAGGAUCUUGGUUUUUAGAUUUAUAUUUUUUCCUAAAUAAAAUGGAAAGUUAAACCAAAGAAGGUGAAAGUCCAGUGGGAUAAAUUAAUAUAAAUUGAACAAAAAAGUAGAAUAAGAGAAAACUUGUUUGAAAAAAGGGGAACCAUCCUCUAAGACUAAAUAUGAUAUAUAGAGUAAUAGAGUAAAGUACUGUAAAGGAACUGAUUGAAAAGAUGAAGUUAAUUAAAUUAACUGUAGAUAACUAGUGAAAAAGAACCUGAAUCUGUGAUUCUAUAAGUAGGGGAAAAAUAAAAGAAUUAACCCCGUACCUUUUGCAUAAUGGGUCAGCAAGUUGAUAAUAGAAGCAAGAUGAAAAAUCGUAAUGAAAAUACCGCAUCUUGGAUGCUAAGUAAGUUUCUAUUAUCAGACCCGAAAUCUAGUGAUCUUCCCAUGAUCAAGUUAUAGGACUGAACCUUAGUUUGUUGCAAUAAACAAGGAUGAAUUGUGGGAAGGGGCGAAAGACCAAUCGAACUAGAAGAUAGCUGGUAUUCCGCGAAAACUAUAAUAGUAGAACAUUUUAAAAAAAAUUAUAAUCAAUUUUGCAAUGGAUUAUCUUUAAUUACCAAAAAACAUGAGUAAAUUAAAAAAAAAAAAAUCUAAUCAUAAAAAGAUUUUAAGUUAAAGUAUAAAAUAGUCAGUCUUAAGGGGAUAAGCUCAUAAGACAAAAGGGAAAAAGCCCUAAACCUAAAAUAAGGUCCCUAAUGAAUGACUAAGUGAUAUAAAGAAAGUAAUGCUAAUUAUUCAACUCUUUAGUGGGCUUGGAGUCAGCCAUCUAUAAAAGAAAGCGUAAUAGCUCAAGAGGAAAAAUGUAUUUCAUUUUUGAUAAUUUGCAUCGAAAAUGUAAAGGGUCUAAAGUCAUUAACCGAAAUUAGGUGUUAAAUCGGUAGCGGAACAUUCAGUAAAUGGAAAGGAAAGGUAAAAACCGUACCUCAUAUCUGAAGAGAGAAUGCUGACAUGAGUAACAAAAAUGAAUGUUUAAAUCAUUCACGCCGAAAAAAAUAGGUUAAACUGAGAUAGGAUAAACCUCUUAGAAAAAAAACGGUCUCUAAAAUAAAUAUAAAUUGAUGAGUAGAUAAAUAAAUAUUAGUUAUUAAUAAAUUAAUUUUGGUUUCCAUCUUUAAUUUAUUUUUAACCUGGAAAAAUUUUUAUCUUACCGUUCUAAUUCCAACACUGGUUUUUUUAUUGAGUAUAUUCAGGCGUUUCAGAUAAUCAUCUUUAAGGAACUCGGCAAAUUACCUCUGUAACUUAGGGAUAAAGAGGGGGGCGAUACUAAUUGUUUCGCUCCGACACAGAAUAGAAGAGAACAACUGUUUACUAAAAACAUAGCACUUUGCCAUUAUUUAAUAAAUAUUAGUAUAAAGUGUGAAACCUGCCCAGUGCUAGUAAGUUAAAUAAGAAUUUUAUUAUGAUUUUCUUAUAAUCUCUAGUAAACGGCGGUCCUAACUAUGAGGAUCCUAAGGUAGAAUGCUGCCUGCAGAUAUUUAAUAAAUUUCUGAAAAAUAACUGGCUCAUAACGGUGAAGCCUAAGGAAAUAUAUAUAUUUCUAUGGUAAUACCGUGGGAAGUCUCAUAAUUAUAACUAAUUAUGAUGACCCCGUAACGACUUCGGAUUAUAUAUAAUCCGGGAUAAUUUAAGAUUUUAGAAAUUAAAUUAUAAUACGCCAGAUUUUAAUUAUCUUAUUUAAAAAUUUAUGUGAAAGGUAUUAAUUGAGGCAUAAAAUUAAUAAAUAUACAUUACAUAAAUACGACAAUGAAAAAAAAAAUACAAUUAUUUUACUUCAAUCCUAAUUGGGUUACUGGUUUUACUCAAGCUGAUGGUUGUUUUAAUAUAACUUUUACUAAAAAAAAACCAAAUCAAAUUCGUUUAAGAGCUAGAUUUAUAAUUUCACAACAUAUAAAAGAUGAACUUCUGAUCUUAUCAAUUAAAAAUUUCUUUAAUUGUGGGAUAAUUAUUAAAAAUAAAAAAGAAAUUCAAUAUGUUGUUAAUUCUAUAAAUGAUUUAGUCAAUAUUAUUAUACCUCAUUUUGAUAAAUAUCCUUUAAAAUAUGGUAAAUAUUCCUCAUUUUUAAUUUUUAAAAAUAUUGUAGAAAAAAUGAAGAAUAAACAACAUUUAACUCAAGAAGGUUUAAUUGAUAUAAUAAAUCUAGCUUAUAUUAUGAAUCCUUUAGGUAAAAGAAAAGUUAAUAAAAAAGAAUUAUUUGAAUUUUUAAAAUUUAAAUUUUUAAAAGAUUUUUCUAUUUUAGAUAUUAAUAAUCCAUUAAUUUAUACUAAUUUUUUAUCUAAAGAAAAUUUUAACCAAAAACAAGAUGAAAUUGAUAUUCAUUUUAUUGCUGGAUUAAUUCAAGGUGAUGGUUGUUUUAAUAUAAGUUUUAGAAAAGAUUUAAAAAUUCAAGCUCAAUUAUCUAUAGCUCAAGAUAUGUAUUCCAUUGAAUUACUAUCAAUAAUAAAAAAUUUUUUUAAUUGUGGAAAUAUUAUAGAUAAAAAAGUAAAAAUGUCUAUAAUAGAAAUUAAGAAUAUUAAUAAUUUAUAUAAUAAAAUAUUACCUUUAUUUAAUGAAAAUUUAUUUUAUUUAGAUAAAUUAAAACAAUUUAUUAUAUUUAAACUAAUUGUUAAUUUAUUAUAUAAUAAACAACAUUUAACUAAAGAAACUAAAUUAAAAAUUGUCGAAUUAGCUUAUAAUAUGAAUUAUAAUGGUAUUAAAAGAAAAAUAACUAAAGAACAAUAUAUACAAAUUAUAAUAAAUAAAUAUAUUAUAUAAAUUAUUAAACCUAAAUUAAAAUAAGGUAUAGUCUAGUUCCAUAUGAAAAUAUGGGUUAAUAUACAAGCAAAAUCCAUUGUCAUCUAAUUAGUGACCUGCAUGAAUGGUAUAAUGACUUCUCUUACUGUCUCAAAGAUGAACUGAGUGAAAUUACAAUAUCCGUGCAGAUGCGGAUUACCAUUAGCUAGACGGGAAGACCCUUUGAAGCUUUACUGUUAAUAAAUAUAUUUUUUAUGAUUUUUAGGUGUAGUAUAUAAGGUAGUCAUUUAUUGGCAAUAGUGAAAUCCCUUAACUAAAAAUCUUAUUAAAAAGUAGCCUUGCUGCUACGGGCUGAGAGGUCCGUAGCCUAAAUUAAGACUACUAUUUGUUUAUGAGACAGUUUUCUUGGGAUGAGAUCCUCAUAAAUAGUAACUGAGGAGUUCUAAGCUCUAUUUUUGCAGAUGGGUUAUCUGCCGUGAAAAAUAAUCACGAUAUUAAUAUAAUGAUAAAAUAGGGUUAACGAUAAGGAUUACAAUCCGAAUCGGUACUUACGUAGGACAUAGUGAACCGAUAAUAUCAAUAUGGAAUGGUUAUCGAUUAUCGGAUUAAGCUACUCAAGGGAUAACAGGCUAGUUAUGCACGAGAGUACCUAUUGACUGCAUAGCUCGGCACCUCGAUGAAUUGACGUCGCAGAAGUUUGAAAAAAUUUCAGGAAAAAUUGGGUGAAUUGUCAAGAAAAGCUAAAAGAUUUAUCUCAUGCUAACUUGCAGCGAAGCUUAAUUCA
rnacentral:rRNA from 1 species